rnacentral:rRNA from 1 species
ACGAACGCUGGCGGCAUGCCUAACACAUGCAAGUCGAACGCGACCUUCGGGUCUAGUGGCGCACGGGUGCGUAACGCAUGGGAACCUGCCCUUAGGUUCGGAAUAACUCCCCGAAAGGGGUGCUAAUACCGGAUAAUGUCUUCGGACCAAAGAUUUAUCGCCUUUGGAUGGGCCCGCGUUGGAUUAGCUAGUUGGUAGGGUAAAAGCCUACCAAGGCGACGAUCCAUAGCUGGUCUGAGAGGAUGAUCAGCCACACUGGGACUGAGACACGGCCCAGACUCCUACGGGAGGCAGCAGUGGGGAAUAUUGGACAAUGGGCGAAAGCCUGAUCCAGCAAUGCCGCGUGAGUGAUGAAGGCCUUAGGGUUGUAAAGCUCUUUUACCCGGGAUGAUAAUGACAGUACCGGGAGAAUAAGCUCCGGCUAACUCCGU